CCUCAGCCUCGCUUCCCUCCUCCGCCGCCGCGCCGCGCCGCCGCCACCAACCACCACCUCGCCCUCCUCGCGCUCAAAUCCCCCCAACGAAUCGAACGCGCUCCACCCGCAUCGGGAUUUGUGGUUUGCUUGUCGACGACGAACCGCAAUCAGGUGAGGGGUUCUCCGAUUUUAUUUUUUUAAUAUUUUUUGACGAUUUUUUUUGGAGCUGUUUCCAAUCCAAUCUGAUUAUCUGACCAUUUUCUCUGCGUGGUUGCAGCGGCGCGUACGUGGUGGGUGGGUGGGCGGCGAGCAUGAGCAUGGCCUUCUCGUGCGCGCUGCAGGGGCGCGUCGGCGUGGGGAAAUGCCGGGGUGGUGGUGGCGGAGCCGCGGUGGUGAGGC
rnacentral:lncRNA from 1 species